UUUUUCUUGCCUAAGAAAAAGAGUCAGGUGUGGCUUGAAGUUUGUGCAGUCCUUUCCUCUUCCUGUCUUUAUCACAGAAGUGAUUUCUGGAGCAGCAGCAGCUGUGAUGUCAGGUGACAACUAUAGGGACGAGAAGCCAACAUACUGAGGAUGAUACAAUGAAAGUAUGGAAAGGGCCAGGGUCCUUAAUGACACUGCUGAGCUACAUGAGCAGUCCUGAUGUCAUCUGUUGGACUUCUUGAUUUGUGUAAAUAUCUGUAUUUGUUUACAUCAUCAUAAGCUGGGUUUUCCUUCUUUGCAGCCAUAACAUUCCUAUAUACAUCUAGUUUCAAGGAACAGAUAAUCUAAUGCAAACUCAAAAAAAGAAGAGGGAAUAUUGGUUUAUGUAAUAAAAUCCAGAGGAUGACUGAAUUGACUCUAUAGGUUCAGAAUGUCAUCAGAGAGUUUGCUGUAUUUCUCUGCAACUUCUGUGAACCUCUGAGUUCUGGUUUCAUCCUUAGGGCUCCUUCCCUCAAAUUCCCAGUAGUGGCUACAGUAGUUCUAGACCUUUUUAUUAAUUUGAUUUCAAUUGGAGGUGGGCUUAUCCCACCCAGAUCAGAAUGGGAGAGGCUUCAGAAAAGAAAUUUGAGAUGCUGUUAGCAGAAGGGAGGGGAAAUUGAUGCUGAG
rnacentral:lncRNA from 1 species